rnacentral:misc_RNA from 1 species
GGUGUUUGGCGUGUAUGGGCAUGUUGGAUCCCUGCUCUGGCAGCGACGGCAUCUCCWCCACGUCUCUUCAAUAGUUGGCACGAGCGCGUUCUCGGCCGACGUCGGGUUUCCUGUGUUGAAUACCUCUCGSRAGGGCAUUAUGCCGGCUAAGUGUUGUCCCUUUCCCGCCCCCGUGCUGCUGCUCUCUGUGGGCAUGCGGCGCGGGGUGGGCCAAAUCGGGCAAGUCGUGUAUCGCAACGCGUUCACCUUAACCGGUGUUAGGGCUGUCGACCCAUGACUUGCUGCGCGGUCUCUCGGGUACGGUAGAUCACGUGGGUUCGAGGCCUCGCCCUCCGAGCACCACAAACAAGCGUUCUACGCUUCGUGCGAACGACGGUCGGUUCGGUCUUUGUCCGUUCUCUCGUAGCUCGGUUCAAGCCGGGCCGACGUCGAUGAGGAAUGCUA